GAGACGGCACCAGCCAUGUUGUCCUGGCCCAGGCCCUCCUACAGGCCGGGGGCGGGGCGGGGCCGCCCCUGAUCGCGGUGCCACCGCUGCCACUGGGCUUCGGAGCGGACCGACUGUGCAAGGCGGAGGCUGUGGCCGUCACGGAGCUUCUGGGAAGGCUCAUUACUGGUUAACAAGCAACUCCAUUGGUAGAGGAUCCACCGCCCUCUUCUGGCUUCUACAGACAGAGAUAAGAAUCAAGUGCUACAAUGACAAC